rnacentral:rRNA from 1 species
UACGUAGGAUGCGAGCGUUAUCCGGAUUUAUUGGGUUUAAAGGGUGCGUAGGCGGAUUUUUAAGUCAGCGGUAAAAUGUCCGGGCUCAACCCGGGCCGGCCGUUGAAACUGGGGAUCUUGAGUGGGCGAGAAGUAUGCGGAAUGCGUGGUGUAGCGGUGAAAUGCAUAGAUAUCACGCAGAACUCCGAUUGCGAAGGCAGCAUACCGGCGCCCGACUGACGCUGAGGCACGAAAGCGUGGGGAUCGGACAGG